CAGUCGCCGCGGUAAUACGUAGGUGGCAAGCGUUGUCCGGAAUUAUUGGGCGUAAAGGGCUCGCGGGCGGUUUCUUAAGUCUGAUGUGAAAGCCCCCGGCUCAACCGGGGAGGGUCAUUGGAAACUGGGAAACUUGAGUGCAGAAGAGGAGAGUGGAAUUCCACGUGUAGCGGUGAGAUGCGUAGAGAUGUGGAGGAACACCAGUGGCGAAGGCGACUCUCUGGUCUGUAACUGACGAUGAGGAGCGAAAGCGUGGGGAGCGAACAGGAUUAGAUACCCCUGUAGUCCCUGUCUCUUAUAC
rnacentral:rRNA from 1 species